CCGGUCUUAGCUCAGUUGGCCAGAGCGGGAGACUGUAGAUCUCUAGGUCACUAGUUCGAAUCUGGUAGACCGGA
rnacentral:tRNA from 1 species